rnacentral:rRNA from 1 species
AUGGGUAUUCGGAGUGCUAAGAUCAAGGUUUCCCUGAGCUCCAUGGAUAUAAGCUUGCCCUCAUACCAUUUGUUGAUCUGGAAAUGGAUUGUAGGUUUCUGUCUUCCAGUACCGAUGUUCUUUCUUCCCUUCAUUAGCUGGAAUUGGCAUAGUUUCUUCAAACAUACGCAGCUUACUGAUAAGCAAAAAAAUUAUUGCCAGACAAUGGAGGUGAUGGAUGUAUUGAUGAUGGAUUUAGUGGUAGUAAUACAACUUCUGGCUUUUCUGCUGUUCAAGAUGGAGGACGCGAGCGUGGGCAUGUGGGUGGGGCAGUUCAACGACGGCGACACAGGAAAGGCCGCCGUGCAGUACGUAUAUGGGACGCGGUUCCGCCAGGCCGACUGUGCCGCCGACUACCUCGCCGCCCGCUACAAGUCAUCAGGGCAGAUGUUGUGCUCCGGGAGAAGCUGGCUGCAAUGUCAAAUGACAUGA